GACGAACGCUGGCGGCGUGCUUAACACAUGCAAGUCGAACGAUGAUGCCCAGCUUGCUGGGUGGAUUAGUGGCGAACGGGUGAGUAACACGUGAGUAACCUGCCCCUGACUCUGGGAUAAGCGUUGGAAACGACGUCUAAUACUGGAUAUGACUGCCGGCCGCAUGGUCUGGGGGUGGAAAGAUUUUUUGGUUGGGGAUGGACUCGCGGCCUAUCAGCUUGUUGGUGAGGUAAUGGCUCACCAAGGCGACGACGGGUAGCCGGCCUGAGAGGGUGACCGGCCACACUGGGACUGAGACACGGCCCAGACUCCUACGGGAGGCAGCAGUGGGGAAUAUUGCACAAUGGGCGAAGGCCUGAUGCAGCAACGCCGCGUGAGGGAUGACGGCCUUCGGGUUGUAAACCUCUUUUAGUAGGGAAGAAGCGAAAGUGACGGUACCUGCAGAAAAAGCACCGGCUAACUACGUGCCAGCAGCCGCCGUAA
rnacentral:rRNA from 1 species